UACGUAGGGGGCGAGCGUUGUCCGGAAUCAUUGGGCGUAAAGAGCGUGUAGGUGGACUGGAAGGUCUGGUGUGAAAGCCCGGGGGCUCAACCCCGGAGGGUCACUGGAAACCAACAGUCUUGAGUCCGGAAGAGGAGAGUGGAAUUCCUAGUGUAGCGGUGGAAUGCGCAGAUAUUAGGAAGGAACACCAAUGGCGAAGGCAGCUCUCUGGUACGUGACUGACACUGAGACGCGAAAGCGUGGGGAGCGAACAGG
rnacentral:rRNA from 1 species